rnacentral:rRNA from 1 species
UGGCUCAGGAUGAACGCUAGCGACAGGCCUAACACAUGCAAGUCGAGGGGCAUCAGGGCGAGGAGCAAUCCUUGCCGCCGGCGACCGGCGCACGGGUGAGUAACGCGUAUGCGACCUGCCCGUUGCAGGGGGAUAAUCGGGAGAAAUCCCGUCUAAUACCGCGUAACGCCGCGGGGCUGCAUGGCCCUGCGGCCAAAGGGAGCGAUUCCGGCAACGGAUGGGCAUGCGUGACAUUAGCUAGUUGGCGGGGCAACGGCCCACCAAGGCGACGAUGUCUAGGGGUUCUGAGAGGAAGGUCCCCCACACUGGUACUGAGACACGGACCAGACUCCUACGGGAGGCAGCAGUGAGGAAUAUUGGUCAAUGGGCGCGAGCCUGAACCAGCCAAGUCGCGUGAGGGAUGACGGCCCUACGGGUUGUAAACCUCUUUUGUCGGGGAGCAAAUUCCGCCACGUGUGGCGGAGUCGAGAGUACCCGAAGAAAAAGCAUCGGCUAACUCCGUGCCAGCAGCCGCGGUAAUACGGAGGAUGCGAGCGUUAUCCGGAUUUAUUGGGUUUAAAGGGUGCGUAGGCGGACUGUCAAGUCAGCGGUAAAAUACGGGGGCUCAACCUCCGCCCGCCGUUGAAACUGACGGUCUUGAGUGGGCGAGAAGUAUGCGGAAUGCGUGGUGUAGCGGUGAAAUGCAUAGAUAUCACGCAGAACUCCGAUUGCGAAGGCAGCAUACCGGCGCCCAACUGACGCUGAAGCACGAAAGCGUGGGUAUCGAACAGGAUUAGAUACCCUGGUAGUCCACGCAGUAAACGAUGAAUACUAGCUGUCCGGGGCGAAUGAGCCCUGGGUGGCACAGCGAAAGCGUUAAGUAUUCCACCUGGGGAGUACGCCGGCAACGGUGAAACUCAAAGGAAUUGACGGGGGCCCGCACAAGCGGAGGAACAUGUGGUUUAAUUCGAUGAUACGCGAGGAACCUUGCCCGGGCUCAAACGACACAGGAACGUACCUGAAAGGGUUCGGCUCUACGGAGCCUGUGUCGAGGUGCUGCAUGGUUGUCGUCAGCUCGUGCCGUGAGGUGUCGGCUUAAGUGCCAUAACGAGCGCAACCCCCAUCGACAGUUGCUAACAGGUUAGGCUGAGGACUCUGUCGAGACUGCCGGCGCAAGCUGCGAGGAAGGCGGGGAUGACGUCAAAUCAGCACGGCCCUUACGUCCGGGGCGACACACGUGUUACAAUGGCAGGUACAGCGGGAAGCCACCUGGCGACAGGGAGCGGAACCCGAAAGCCUGUCUCAGUUCGGAUUGGAGUCUGCAACCCGACUCCAUGAAGCUGGAUUCGCUAGUAAUCGCGCAUCAGCCACGGCGCGGUGAAUACGUUCCCGGGCCUUGUACACACCGCCCGUCAAGCCAUGGAAGCCGGGGGUGCCUGAAGUGCGCUGCCGCGAGGAGCGCCCUAGGGUAAAACCGGUGACUGGGGCUAAGUCGUAACAAGGUAGCCGU